GUUUGAUCCUGGCUCAGGAUGAACGCUAGCGGCAGGCCUAACACAUGCAAGUCGAGGGGCAUCGGGAUUGAAGCUUGCUUCAAUUGCCGGCGACCGGCGCACGGGUGCGUAACGCGUAUGUAACCUACCUAUAACAGGGGCAUAACACUGAGAAAUUGGUACUAAUUCCCCAUAAUAUUCGGAGAGGCAUCUCUCCGGGUUGAAAACUCCGGUGGUUAUAGAUGGACAUGCGUUGUAUUAGCUAGUUGGUGAGGUAACGGCUCACCAAGGCAACGAUACAUAGGGGGACUGAGAGGUUAACCCCCCACACUGGUACUGAGACACGGACCAGACUCCUACGGGAGGCAGCAGUGAGGAAUAUUGGUCAAUGGACGCAAGUCUGAACCAGCCAUGCCGCGUGCAGGAAGACGGCUCUAUGAGUUGUAAACUGCUUUUGUACGAGGGUAAACUCACCUACGUGUAGGUGACUGAAAGUAUCGUACGAAUAAGGAUCGGCUAACUCCGUGCCAGCAGCCGCGGUAAUACGGAGGAUCCGAGCGUUAUCCGGAUUUAUUGGGUUUAAAGGGAGCGUAGGCGGACGCUUAAGUCAGUUGUGAAAGUUUGCGGCUCAACCGUAAAAUUGCAGUUGAUACUGGGUGUCUUGAGUACAGUAGAGGCAGGCGGAAUUCGUGGUGUAGCGGUGAAAUGCUUAGAUAUCACGAAGAACUCCGAUUGCGAAGGCAGCUUGCUGGACUGUAACUGACGCUGAUGCUCGAAAGUGUGGGUAUCAAACAGGAUUAGAUACCCUGGUAGUCCACACAGUAAACGAUGAAUACUCGCUGUUUGCGAUAUACAGUAAGCGGCCAAGCGAAAGCGUUAAGUAUUCCACCUGGGGAGUACGCCGGCAACGGUGAAACUCAAAGGAAUUGACGGGGGCCCGCACAAGCGGAGGAACAUGUGGUUUAAUUCGAUGAUACGCGAGGAACCUUACCCGGGCUUGAAUUGCAACUGAAUGAUGUGGAGACAUGUCAGCCGCAAGGCAGUUGUGAAGGUGCUGCAUGGUUGUCGUCAGCUCGUGCCGUGAGGUGUCGGCUUAAGUGCCAUAACGAGCGCAACCCUUAUCUUUAGUUACUAACAGGUCAUGCUGAGGACUCUAGAGAGACUGCCGUCGUAAGAUGUGAGGAAGGUGGGGAUGACGUCAAAUCAGCACGGCCCUUACGUCCGGGGCUACACACGUGUUACAAUGGGGGGUACAGAAGGCAGCUACCUGGUGACAGGAUGCUAAUCCCAAAAGCCUCUCUCAGUUCGGAUCGAAGUCUGCAACCCGACUUCGUGAAGCUGGAUUCGCUAGUAAUCGCGCAUCAGCCAUGGCGCGGUGAAUACGUUCCCGGGCCUUGUACACACCGCCCGUCAAGCCAUGGGAGCCGGGGGUGCCUGAAGGCCGUGACCGCAAGGAGCGGCCUAGGGUAAAACCGGUGACUGGGGCUAAGUCGUAACAAGGUAGCCGUACCGGAAGGUGCGGCUG
rnacentral:rRNA from 1 species